rnacentral:rRNA from 1 species
AGCGAACGCUGGCGGCAGGCCUAAAACAUGCAAGUCGAACGCCCUAGCAAUAGGGAGUGGCAGACGGGUGAGUAACACGUGGGAACGUGCCUUUUGGUUCGGAACAACACAGGGAAACUUGUGCUAAUACCGGAUAAGCCCUUACGGGGAAAGAUUUAUCGCCAAAAGAUCGGCCCGCGUCUGAUUAGCUAGUUGGUGGGGUAACGGCCCACCAAGGCUACGGCCAGUAGCUGGUCUGAGAGGAUGAUCAGCCACACUGGGACUGAGACACGGCCCAGACUCCUACGGGAGGCAGCAGUUAGGAAUCUUGGACAAUGGGCGCAAGCCUGAUCCAGCCAUGCCGCGUGAGUGAUGAAGGCCUUAGGGUUGUAAAGCUCUUUCAGCGGGGAAGAUAAUGACGGUACCCGCAGAAGAAGCCCCGGCUAACUUCGUGCCAGCCGCCGCCGUAA